rnacentral:rRNA from 1 species
UACGUAGGGUGCGAGCGUUGUCCGGAAUUACUGGGCGUAAAGAGCUCGUAGGUGGUUUGUCGCGUUGUUCGUGAAAACUCACAGCUCAACUGUGGGCGUGCGGGCGAUACGGGCAGACUGGAGUACUGCAGGGGAGACUGGAAUUCCUGGUGUAGCGGUGGAAUGCGCAGAUAUCAGGAGGAACACCGGUGGCGAAGGCGGGUCUCUGGGCCGAUACUGACGCUGAGGAGCGAAAAGCGUGGGGGAGCGAACAGG